rnacentral:lncRNA from 1 species
CUCUUUUCUUCCUGGGUUCAUUUGGCCUGGGCUUGGAGCUGACAGAGCUCCCCUCGAGAUGGUUCCUGUGACUCGUUGGUCAUCCCCAGGGCAUCUUGUAACACACCUUAGCCGCCUCCUCCAGGUCUACUUGCCCACUCAUGACCCCCACACUGUACUGACUCAGGAUAACGCAUGCCAGCUGCCUUGGGUUCAGUAAUAUUCCUCCAAAACUCAUCUAUCCAGAACCUCAGAAAGUGACUUUAUUUAGAAAUAGGGUCUUUACAGAUGUAAUUAGUUAAGAUGAGGUCAUCCUGGAUUCGAAUGGACCCUAAGCAGUGACUGUGUCCUUAUAAGAGGAAACAGAGACACGGAGACAGGAAGAAAGGUCAUAUGACAAUGGAGUGGACACUGGAGUUUUUGCCUACAAGCCAAGAAAAGCCAAGGAUUUCCAGAACAACCAGGAGCUAGGAGAUAUGCCUGGACCUGAUCCUCCCUCAGAGCCUCCAGAAGGAACCAAGCCCACCAACACCUUCUGGGGACUUCUGGCCUCCAGGAUUCCUUCGUUCUCUUAACUCUGCUUAGGGGGGCAGUGGCGAGGCCUUUUCAUAUUUGUGUUGGCUCUCCAAUCCCAUCCUAAAAAUGGCGUUACCCACUGUGUAUAUGUACAUUGUUGAAGUAGGACCACAUAAAGUUUAUAAUAACUAAUUAUAAUAGAUCGAAUUGUGCCUUUCUCCCCCCACAAAAGAUAUGUCUUCCCAGAACCCAUGAAUAUGAUCUGAUUUGGAAAAAGGGUCUUUGCCAUUAGAAUUCAUUUAAGGAUCUCAAGAUGAGAGCAUCUUGAUUUCAGGGUAGGUCCUAAAUCCAAUGACAGGUGUCCUUUUAAGGAGGGGACGACACAGAGACACACAGGGGAGAAAGCCACGUGAGAAGAGAGGCAAAGACCACAAAUGUCUGGAACCACAAGCGGCUGCAAGAGGCAAGGUCUCCAUUCUAAAAGCAAACCCUUGGGGGACCUCAGUGGCUCUGUCGGUUAAGCAUCUAUCUUCUGCUCCGGUUGUGAUCAUGGGGUGCUGGGAUGAAGGCUGGCAUCGGGCUCCCUGCUCAGCGGGGAGUCUGCUCUCACUCCCUCUGUCCUUGCCCUCCAACUCAUGCUUUCUCUCUCUCUCAAGUAAAUAAAUGAAAUCCUUUAAAAAUAAAAAUAAAUGAAGGCAAAUCCUUAGAGUUAGCCAGUCAUCCUCAAGUAGGCAGAGUAACAGUUGCAUGGGGGUGCUCCUUAGCCCCCAGGUUUGAAUAACAUGAAUGUACUGGCUGCUGCAUGUAAUGUUAGCUCGAGAGGUCUGUGGGUAUCAUUGUUCUGAAGAAGACAGCACAGAAAAAUCACUGAACACUGUAACUAGAGUCAAAAGAUCUGCAAUUCAAUUUGUACUUUGCUAACAUCAGAUUAUUUUUACCUUGGGAAUGUUUGCAAGUUUCACUUCACCUCAGUGGCGUAUCUGGGCAAUAAGAACAUUGGGGUAAAUAAACUCGAAGAUUCCAAGAUUCUGUUCUCCCACUGAUGUUUGAAUGGCCCAUUUGAAGGGCAUUGGUGUGUUCAUUGCUCGGUACUGGAGCAUAUAUAUCAGAGUCAUACCAAGCCAUCCUAAGCGCUAAAUAGUGAUACAAGGAGUCCAGUUCUUGCCAAAAUAACUAUCACAAAGAUCAUGAUUGUAUUAAACAGAAGCAAUUGCUCUAGGAGCCUACCUCGGUGUUUUAGCUGAAUGAAACACUUAUUAUUAUAUGAACUACCACCUUGACACAAAAGGUUUUAAUUAAAGGCGAUAAAAU